rnacentral:lncRNA from 1 species
GAAUUUAGCUUUUUCAUUUUUCGCAUAAGAUUUUUGUGAGUUUUACAUAUUUGUUACAUUCUUGAAAUCAAGAAAUAAUUUCAAUAUUCCCAUGUGAAAAUCCUUGUAGCUAUGAGGAGUAAAGGGUCACCACCAUAAUUUUUUGGAUCGUUUUUGUGUUUAAAACAUUUAAAUAAAUAUGAAGUGCCAUAGUUUGAAAUACUGUUAGAAUACUUAGUGCUGUUGUAAUAUUCAGUAUGUGCCAUUAUACAUUUAUGUAAACAAUCGAUCUCAGAUAUUUUUUUAUUGAAUUGGUGCCUUGUAACACAUGAAUCUCUUUAUUCAAUAUUUUUACACUUUAUUUUGAGUUUAUAUUUCAAUAAAAUUAUGAUA